UUUAAGUGCAACCAUGAGUUUCCGCGUCCAACUUUGAUCGUCCGUCUUAUUUUUUUUAUAAUUAGUAUUUUUGUUGUUAUGAGAUGAUAAAACAUGAAUAGUACUUUACUCAUAACUUAUGUUUUUAAUUUUUUUUAAAAAAAAUUCAAAUGAGACGGCGAUCAAAGUUGGGCGUGAAAAACCAUAGCUGCACUUAAA
rfam:Oryza sativa Japonica Group DNA, chromosome 1, cultivar: Nipponbare, complete sequence.